rnacentral:antisense_RNA from 1 species
CUUGAGCGAGCCGAGCCACAAUGGCCGGUCCGCCGCGCGCUCCUGGCCGUAGGUGGCGAGCAGCGCCUGGGCCUC